AUUCACAAACAAAAAUUCACAAUAUAUAGCAUUAAUUAGCUAUUUGAAUGAGUAGUUUUUGGUGAAAAUUCUUGAGCUUUUGUCUUGAGUGUGAGGAAAUUCUUGGACUAUGGAGCUGAAAUUAGGAUCUUAAAGCUUAGUAUUUACGAAAGCGAUUAAUAUUUUAAGGUGGAACCUAAAAUGGCUGGGCUACCGUGGCGACGGAUAGUUGGUGGCUUCUAUCAGUUGGUGAUCCCAACCACUCACGUUGAAGUAUGGUGAAGUCGUCAUCGAACGACAUGGUGAUUAUAACUUUUUUGCUUGAAAAAUUCAUGGAUCAUAUCAUUGCAUAGUAGAAAAUCCAUAAUUGGUCGUGAUGGAGGGGUCAAGCUCCCUGGUGGAUCGAGGAUUCCGCGCGUUUCCGGUAUUUGGUCCCUAAUAAAUCAUUCAGAGUUCAUUAGAAGUGGCACUUGGCUGGAGUGGGUCAUUUGUCCUGCCUACCUAGUAUGGAUGCUGACGUAUGAUAUCCGGAUCAUGGUAGAAUUGCAUUGAGCAUAUUGCAUACGCUAAGAAUAUAGAGACCACGUAGGUUCCCUUGAACGUCGUCGACGUUGGAGCAUUGGUUGAGUCUCAUGACUUGUGUUAGAUGGAUGAAUACCCUAUGAGGAUGAGCAAGUGACCGAUGGAUGCAAGAGAGGAGAUGUCGCCGGGAUGUGAUGUGACUAUGGGCCACUGCUUCAAAGACUAGUCGUGUGGACAUUGCGGGGAGCUCGACGGACAUAGGAGACCCUCUUAUAUAUUUUUGGAGUCUUGUUGUAAUCAUAUUCGUUGAUGUAAGGGUAUCUAUUAUUGGGUUAUUAGUAUAAAUUUGUUAGAGCAUGUUUUGGA